rnacentral:lncRNA from 1 species
GAUCCUCAUCACUGCCUCUGUUCUGGCAGCUGUGUAUAGGGUGCUGCUUACUGGACCCGGACCAGGAGGGGCAGAGGAAAAUUGCAGUGUAAGCACCGGGCCUGGACUGCUGCUGGUGUAAGCCUGGAGAUCUUUGCUGAGGGAAUGAAGAGCCAGUGCAGUGAAACUGGCAACCUGAACUGGUACAACUCAGAAUGUGCCUGACCACCAAAUGACAGCCAUGAACAAGCUGCUU